rnacentral:rRNA from 1 species
CCCGACUGCUAUCAGAGUAGGACUAAGCCAUGCGAGUCAACAUAGCAAUAUGUGGCAUACGGCUCAGUAACACGUAGUCAACAUGCCCAGGGGACGUGGAUAACCUCGGGAAACUGAGGAUAAACCGCGAUAGGUCAUCACAUCUGGAAUGGGUAAUGACUUAAAUCUAUAUGGCCCCUGGAUUGGACUGCGGCCGAUCAGGCUGUUGGUGAGGUAAUGGCCCACCAAACCUGUAACCGGUACGGGCUCUGAGAGGAGGAGCCCGGAGAUGGGCACUGAGACAAGGGCCCAGGCCCUAUGGGGCGCAGCAGGCGCGAAACCUCUGCAAUAGGCGAAAGCUUGACAGGGUUACUCUGAGUGAUUUCCGUUAAGGAGAUCUUUUGGCACCUCUAAAAAUGGUGCAGAAUAAGGGGUGGGCAAGUCUGGUGUCAGCCGCCGCGGUAAUACCAGCAC